AUACUCACCUGACAAGGGAGACACUGUGGUCACAAAGGUAAUUUUCCCAGGGCGAGGCUUAUCCACUGCACUCUGGAUGUGCAGAAUCCUGUGAUUUCCCCAAAUGUGGGAAACUCGACUGCAUAAUUCGUGGUAGUGGGGGACUGCAUUUGCGCUCUCCAC
rfam:Tupaia chinensis contig65824, whole genome shotgun sequence.